AUGAACGCUAGCGGCAGGCUUAACACAUGCAAGUCGAGGGGCAGCAUACCCGGUGACGGGUGAUGGCGACCGGCGUAAGGGUGAGUAACGCGUGAGCAACAUACCCGUAUCAGUGGGAUAAUACAGGGAAACUUGUUCUAAUAUCACAUAAUAUUAUACAGAGGCAUCUUUGUAUAAUUAAAGUUCAGGCGGAUACGGAAUGGCUCGCGUGACAUUAGCUAGAUGGUAGGGUAAAGGCCUACCAUGGCUAUGAUGUCUAGGGGUUCUGAGAGGGAGGUCCCCCACACUGGAACUGAGACACGGUCCAGACUCCUACGGGAGGCAGCAGUGAGGAAUAUUGGACAAUGGAUGAAAAUCUGAUCCAGCCAUGCCGCGUGCAGGAAGGCGGCCCUAUGGGUUGUAAACUGCUUUUGUACGGGAGCAAUAAGGUCUACGAGUAGAUUGAUGAGAGUACUGUACGAAUAAGCAUCGGCUAACUCCGUG
rnacentral:rRNA from 1 species